rnacentral:rRNA from 1 species
UACGUAGGGCGCAAGCGUUGUCCGGAAUUAUUGGGCGUAAAGAGCUCGUAGGCGGUCUGUCGCGUCUGCUGUGAAAACUCGAGGCUCAACCUCGGGCUUACAGUGGGUACGGGCAGACUAGAGUGCGGUAGGGGAGACUGGAAUUCCUGGUGUAGCGGUGGAAUGCGCAGAUAUCAGGAGGAACACCGAUGGCGAAGGCAGGUCUCUGGGCCGCAACUGACGCUGAGGAGCGAAAGCAUGGGGAGCGAACAGG